rnacentral:lncRNA from 1 species
AUAGAGUAAAAAUUUGCAUAAGCGGAAGCAUACACAAUGGCUUGCACGAGGGCAAGCAAUUGCCAAAGUGAAAGAAUUAAUAAUUCGACAUACAAGUGAUAUGACUAAAUUUAAAUCAUAUACAUACAUCCAACUAUAAUCAAGUUCUUUCACAUUCUUGCAUCAUUUCUUUUUACAUCUCAUUUCUCUCAAAAUAUAACUUUUGACAUUUAAGUAAAUAUCCUUUACAUCAUUCAUUAA